rnacentral:rRNA from 1 species
AACGUAGGGGGCGAGCGUUGUCCGGAAUUACUGGGCGUAAAGGGCGUCUAGGCGGCACGAUGCGUCGGGAGUGAAAUACGCGGGCUCAACCUGCGGAACGCUUUCGAAACGGUCGAGCUGGAGGGCCGGAGAGGGAAGCGGAAUUGCCGGUGUAGCGGUGAAAUGCGUAGAGAUCGGCAGGAACACCAGUGGCGAAGGCGGCUUCCUGGACGGUACCUGACGCUGAAGCGCGAAAGCGUGGGGAGCAAACGGG